rnacentral:rRNA from 1 species
UACGUAGGGGGCUAGCGUUAUCCGGAAUUAUUGGGCGUAAAGGGUGCGUAGGCGGUCCUACAAGUCAGAGGUGAAAGGCUACGGCUCAACCGUAGUAAGCCUUUGAAACUGUAGGACUUGAGUGCAGGAGAGGAGAGUGGAAUUCCCAGUGUAGCGGUGAAAUGCGUGGAUAUUGGGAGGAACACCAGUUGCGAAGGCGGCUCUCUGGACUGUAACUGACGCUGAGGCACGAAAGCGUGGGGAGCGAACAGG